rnacentral:rRNA from 1 species
AUGGGCCAGCCCAAGCUGGUUUUAAUUUUUGUUUCGAAUUGGUCGGGUCCUCUUUUACCUUGAAAAACUAUAGAGUUACCCCACGGGGAAUUAAUAGUGACCACGAAUGAUAUAAAUACUACUGUUGCUUUAGCUUUACUCACGUCAGAGGCAUAUUUUUAUGCUGGUCUUAGCAUAAAAGGAGUGAGCUAUUUCCAAAAUUAUUAAACCAACUCUAACCUUUUACCAAUUAACAUCCUAGAAGAUUUCAUAAAACCAUUCCCCCCUCAGUUUUUGGUAAAUUUCUAG